rnacentral:rRNA from 1 species
UACGUAGGGACCAAGCGUUGUCCGGAAUCAUUGGGCGUAAAGAGCGUGUAGGCGGCUUGUUAAGUCUUGCGUGAAAUCUCGGGGCUCAACCCCGAGCGGUCGUGAGAAACUGGCAGGCUAGAGUGCGGGAGAGGAGAGUGGAAUUCCUGGUGUGGCGGUGAAAUGCGCAGAUAUCAGGAAGAACACCCGUGGCGAAGGCGGCUCUCUGGAACGCAACUGACGCUGAGACGCGAAAGCGUGGGGAGCAAACAGG